rnacentral:rRNA from 1 species
AACGAACGCUGGCGGCAUGCCUAACACAUGCAAGUCGAACGAGACCUUCGGGUCUAGUGGCGCACGGGUGCGUAACGCGUGGGAACCUGCCCUUAGGUUCGGAAUAACUCCCCGAAAGGGGUGCUAAUACCGGAUAAUGUCUUCGGACCAAAGAUUUAUCGCCUUUGGAUGGGCCCGCGUUGGAUUAGCUAGUUGGUAGGGUAAAAGCCUACCAAGGCGACGAUCCAUAGCUGGUCUGAGAGGAUGAUCAGCCACACUGGGACUGAGACACGGCCCAGACUCCUACGGGAAGCAGCAGUGGGGAAUAUUGGAAAAUGGGCGAAAGCCUGAACCAGCAAUGCCGCGUGAGUGAUGAAGGCCUUAGGGUUGUAAAGCUCUUUUAACCGGGAUGAUAAUGACAGUACCGGGAGAAUAAGCUCCGGCUAACUCCGUG